GGCACGGUGGCUUAGUGGUUAGCACUGUUGCCUCGCGCCUCCGGGGUUGGGGGUUCGAAUCCCACCUCUGUCC